UUUAAAACCUAUUUAAAUAUAUAAUUAUUUUGUUUGAUAUUAUAUAAUUAUUGGAACCGGUAUUUAUUCUGAUACUACUUGUUCGAAGCGUGAUUUUUUUCUAAUACCACUUACUGAAACUGGUAUUUGUGCUGAUACCGAUUAUAUAACGUAAGAUCUAAAAAUAAAAUAAAAUAAUAUGGAGAAAAGAUAUUGGAAGACGAAGAAAUAACUAAACUAAUACUUUAUCAAUAAAAAAUAAUUAAUUUACAUUCUAGACAACACCUACAUAGCUAUGUAUAUUAUAACUUAUUUCUCUAAUUAAUCUAUGCCUAACUAUAUAUAACCAUUAAAUCACAACAGAUGAUAAAUCCAAUUUUACUUUGGAUAAUUACAUAUCCUAAUCAUAAUUAAAGAAAAGAUUAUAACUUAUCUGUAGCUAUAUUUUAAUUCAGUUUGGAUUAUUAUUUCCAAGAUAU
rnacentral:lncRNA from 1 species